AUUGAACGCUGGCGGCAGGCCUAACACAUGCAAGUCGAGCGGCAGCGGGAAAGUAGCUUGCUCCUUUUGCCGGCGAGCGGCGGACGGGUGAGUAAUGUCUGGGAAAUUGCCCAGUCGAGGGGGGUAACAGUGGGAAACGACUGCUAAUACCGCAUACGCACUACGGGGGAAAGAGGGGGACCUUCGGGCUUUGGGCGAUUGGAUAUGCCCAGGUGGGAUUUGCUAGUUGGUGGGGUAAUGGCUCACCAAGGCGACGAUCCCUAGCUGGUCUGAGAGGAUGAUCAACCACACUGGAACUGAGACACGGUCCAGACUCCUACGGGAGGCAGCAGUGGGGAAUAUUGCACAAUGGGGGAAACCCUGAUGCAGCCAUGCCGCGUGUGUGAAGAAGGCCUUCGGGUUGUAAAGCACUUUCAGCGAGGAGGAAAGGUUGGUGCCUAAUACGUAUCAACUGUGACGUUACUCGCAGAAGAAGCACCGGCUAACUCCGUGCCAGCAGCCGCCGUAACAC
rnacentral:rRNA from 1 species